UCAUAAUGAACAAUAAUUCUCUAAAGUGAUGUAAUCUUAACAUGAUGGUUCCUUUUCUCAUGACACAGGUCAAAAAUCAAAGCUCAGUGACAGACUGAGGUUUAUAUGAAACAUGUAAAACUCAUUGACAGAGGUUUAUAUGAAACAUGUAAAACUUGGUGACAAAGGUUUAUAUGAAACAUGUAAAACUCUGUGACAGAGGAUUAUAUGAGAUUUGAAAACUCAAUGAAAGAGGUUUAUAUGAAACAUGUAAAACUGGUUGACCAUAUAUGAAUCUUACACCGGCUGUCGGGUGCAGAAGGGAAUAUCUAGCUCGAGAGUGACUGUUUACGGCGGUAACUAGGCUCUGCCGAGUUACCUCUAAACAGUUACCCGAGAGCUAGAUAUUCCCUUCUGCACCCGACAGCCGGUGUUUGAUUCUUUUUCUUGCAUAUUACAUAUCAAUUAUUUUCAGAACAGAAAUUACGAAGACUGAUCUUUUCAUUACGCACUUUUUUCUUAUAGUAGCCUAUGAACUUACAACUCCAGUCAUAAUGGUUAAGUGACGUCAUCAUAAGAACGAAAUUCAUUCACAGGACACAGGUCAAAAAUCAAACCUCAGUGACAAAGGUUUAUAUGAAACAUGUAAAACUCGAUGACAGAGGUUUAUAUGAAACAUGUAAAACUUGGUGACCAAGGUUUAUAUGAAACAUGUAAAACUCAGUGACCAAGGUUUAUAUGAAACAUGUAAAACUCAGUGACAAAGGUUUAUAUGAAACAUGUAAAACUCAGUGACAAAGGUUUAUAUGAAACAUGUAAAACUCAGUGACAGAGGUUUAUAUGAAACAUGUAAAACUCAGUGACAAAGGUUUAUAUGAAACAUGUAAAACUCAGUGACAAAGAUUUAUAUGAAACAUGUAAAACUCAGUGACCAAGGUUUAUAUGAAACAUGUAAAACUCAGUGACAGAGGUUUAUAUGAAACAUGUAAAACUCGGUGACAAAGGUUAUAUGAAACAUGUAAAAUAAAUAGUUUAUCAUAUCAUAUAUCACAGAAUUGUUGCAUGAUUUACAUAUAGGUAUGAUCUGUUUAUUGCCACAUGUAGAAACUCUACAUCUUUGAAGCAUGUUUACUAUGUAUGGGAUAGUUUCUUUUUAGUUCAAACGCAACUUUGUUGACUGUCAUAUGGAAGCAGCCUUCACAUUAGUCCAACUAAUUGUUAACUCAGAAUUACAAAUCAAUGAAAUGGAAAUUGGCACUACUAAAAUGUUUGUUUUCCCAAUUUUAAAACAGCAAGAAGAUAUCUUUCAAAUUUGAAAUUCAGUUUGAAACUAAAAAUUAACUGUAAACUUAACUUUUUACAUCAGCAAAACAGAAA